GCCGGGGUUGCUGAGCUUGGAACGGCGCGGGCCUGGAAAGCCCGUUCUCCCUUGGAGUGCAUGGGUUCAAAUCCCAUCCCCGGCGC
rnacentral:tRNA from 1 species